rnacentral:lncRNA from 1 species
CGGCCUCAGAUAGGUGUGACUACUACAUUAGUCCACUUACGAUUGCUUAACAUAGCACUAAAUUGCCUUAUGGCACACUACCACUAACUAUUGACCAUUAACUUUUAAUUCAAGUCAUUUAAUUCUUGCAAUUUACUUUAGGCAAUUUAAUAUCUUGUACAUCUUAUUCAUUUGCUUUUCCUCUUUGCUCACUUGAGCUCAUGUUUAUGUUAAUGCAAUUUGCCUUUUGCUCACUUAAGCACAUAAUUGUG